rnacentral:lncRNA from 1 species
CCAUUUUGAUUAAAAAAAAUUAAGUCAUGUCAUAUUAAAUUGAAAACAUGAAGUUGAUGUGCAAUCUUGCCACUCGACACAGAAAAAAAUAUUAACAGUAAAGAGAAAGGAAAGAAAGAGUAACUGAGGGGGGUCAUCCACAGCCGUUUCAUAAUAAGAAGACGAAAUAAUUGACUGCAAGGGGUUAUUUGUUUUACUCCUUGUGGCUUUCCAUGGUAGCUCUCCUCCUUGUCUUUAUGAUAAAUCAUCUAAAAGCCUUCAAGUCAUCCUUCCUAGCAGCUCUCAUUUCGACAAGUGUUUACCUUAUUUUGUAGAAAUCAAGUGUUUUUAACAAGCCAUGAUAAAGGCAAGAACACUUAAAAGAAAUUUUCUCUAAAAACUAAUGUAG